AAAUUUUGCAUCAAUGAUUAUUGGUAGAGCGAUUAUUGGUAUCACCGGUUUACUAAUGGUUUGUGUCCCUACAAAGAUUCUUGGUGACAUUGCUUAACAAGAUUUCGGAAAUUCGAACUGUCAAGGAAUGUUAUUGCAGUUCUGCAAAUAUUACAAUAACGCAGCGGGUCAAAGUUUUUCUUUCCAGAGAGUUGUUUAAUCCUGGGGUUAAGAUUUGUCAGAACAAAUCUGUUUUUGCAAUCAUUUUCUAUCAACCUAUGCUAGCUAGUAGAAAGCAUCAACCUCUUCUAUGUUUAGUCCUGAACACCAUAUCAUGAAUUUAGUACUUUUUUUGUUACAAUAGCCAUUUAAAAGCUUCGUUGGGCUUCAAGCAGCCUCUUGGUGCAUAGAUAAGGAAGUUUGGACGAGGUUUCAGCAUGUGGAUCCUCUUAAAAGAAAGAGGGAGCGGGUAGCAGCAGGUUUCCCUAAUGAUUUUCCUUUGAUUCAAUUGUAUUAUGAUGUAUGAGUUCAAAGGACUCAACUCGGUCUGUAUUAGCAGUUGGAUCUAUAAUUUUUCUUCUGAAAUUCAGAACUAAACUCACUGUCUGUGUAAUGUUUCAUGAACAAGAACAUGCAGCACUCUGAAGACAGAUUUCAUUUGGAUGGAAAUCACUUAAAAGAGUUAGAUAGUUGAUGAAAAGCAGUCAGGGAGAUUCAGAACUACUUACAAGCAGAUG